UGCAGUCACAUCACUUUCAAAGAUCGGUUUCCAUACGAUCUCCGUAAUUAAGCAACGUCGAGCCUUGCCAGUACCUAAAUGAGUAACCGCUUGGGAAUACCAGGUGCUGUAAG